GAAGAAGACUGGCGGCGUGCUUAACACAUGCAAGUCGAACGGAAAGGCCCUGCUUUUGUGGGGUGCUCGAGUGGCGAACGGGUGAGUAACACGUGAGUAACCUGCCCUUGACUUUGGGAUAACUUCAGGAAACUGGGGCUAAUACCGGAUAGGAGCUCCUGCUGCAUGGUGGGGGUUGGAAAGUUUCGGCGGUUGGGGAUGGACUCGCGGCUUAUCAGCUUGUUGGUGGGGUAGUGGCUUACCAAGGCUUUGACGGGUAGCCGGCCUGAGAGGGUGACCGGCCACAUUGGGACUGAGAUACGGCCCAGACUCCUACGGGAGGCAGCAGUGGGGAAUAUUGCACAAUGGGCGGAAGCCUGAUGCAGCAACGCCGCGUGCGGGAUGACGGCCUUCGGGUUGUAAACCGCUUUCGCCUGUGACGAAGCGUGAGUGACGGUAAUGGGUAAAGAAGCACCGGCUAACUACGUG
rnacentral:rRNA from 1 species